rnacentral:misc_RNA from 1 species
CUUGCAUCUCGAAGUUCUCCACAUGCCGCUGCUCGACCACCACAUUAUGCUCUUUUCCUUCAUUGUCAUGAUCAGAGACGACAACAUCAUCGCAAGCUUGCAAUUCCUCACCUUGCACCUCCUUAUGUCCCUCCCCCAUUUUCUGCUUGUACUCCCGAGCUUCAUCAUUGGUACCAAUGGAUAGUUGAGGUUCCAGCGAUUGUUCUACUGGUUUUCCUGAAUCAAGGAUUUCAAUAUCUCUGUCAACUGCAUUUUGCAUUUUCUCCUGCAGAACCUCAAUUGUUUCUGAUUCCUCCGUGUUGGUAGUAUCUGUAGGCUGCUCUAUGGUGAUUGCCUUUUCCUGUGAUGGUACUGAAAAGCCAUCUGAUGCACUACCACCUUGAUCAAGCUUUUUUCCGUUCUUCUCCAUACCAACCUUGUCAUCCACCUCGGACAUGUUUGCAUCUUCACUUAAUGGUUUUGUAACUUCUUUCUCUCGUUCGAGAAUGUCAAUUGGUACUGCUGCAUCUCUUUCCACAAUAUCUGCAUUUUCUUCUACUCCAUUGCUGCUGUGCGUGUUCUCCAGCCCCAAAAUAAUUGAUGUUUCACCCAAUGCUUGGUAGUGCUCUAGACUCUCUGUAUCAGAGACUCUUUCUUCAGGGGUAAGUGCAGUAAGGUCUACUGUGUCUUGUCUGAUUUCAGCAGAACCUUGAAUACUGGUCUCUUCAUCAGGGACUCCUCGAGGGAGUUCUCCCAACUCAUCCACACCAUCUCCAUGCUCUUCUAAUUUCUCCACUACUAUUGUGUUCUCAUCAAAUAACUUAUCUGUUUUUUCUUCAGAUUCAAAAUGUUGUACUGAUGCCCCAUCUCCGGUCUUCACUGCACUGCUACCCAAAACACCCUCCAUCACCUCUUCAACGUCCUUGUUUAAUUCUUUUCCCUCUAGUACUGCAUUGCCCACAUCAUGAGAGUUGGCUAGCAGCUCUGUUGCACAAAGAGUCUGCUCUUCACAAAGUCCCUUUGCAUCAAACUUUAUUCCUUCAUCCCCCUUCACAAAAUCGUCAUCCCUUUCCAACUUCUGCACCUCCUGGCCACCCUGCAAGGAAGGGUUGUCUUCCACCGCCAUGCUUGUGUCCUCGCUAGAUUUGGCAGUAACAGUCUGUUCACUUUCUGCUGGUUGCUUUUUACAGUUUAGAAGAUCCAGCUUCUCCUGCAGGCUAACAAGCUCCUUCGCUACGGAUUUUCUAUAUUCCCUAACAGUUGGAUGCAACCCCUGAAUAGUGUCGAGCUUUAGUAGAAGACCCAUUAUGACUUCUGUGAGGAAAGUUCUUUGUUUGUUGUCCACCCCAUUGUCAGCUGAGCUCUCCAAAGUCUGAAUAUGCCUUUUGUGCUCAGCCAUCUGCUCCUCUAUUUUGGCUAACUGCUUCAAUUUCUUCAGAGGCUCCCAUCUCCGCAAGGUGAAACCUCGGUAUGCUGAUUGAAUCUUGGUAGCUGCCUCAUCAUUGGACAUUUUACUCCUCUUUUCUCGUUUCGUCUUAUUGCCUGCAUCCACUUCUUCAUUUACUGCUUGUCUGGCCUCACCUCUCUGAUGUGCUUCAUUGCUGGACUGAGCUUUCGCAACUACUGCAUCAAGUUCAUCUUUUGGCUUAUUUGCUGCUUUACCAGUAUCACCCUCAGCAAUUUUGCUCCUUGCCUGGCGUUUCAGAUCAGGGAAAACAGUACAUUGAUCAUGAAGUAUAUCUUCUUUAGCUGUCCCUUGUGCAACUUCAACAACUUUUGCCUUGCUUUUACUUGGCUCCACUUCUGUGCUUUUUCUUGGCAUGCUUGUUGUUGAUGAUUUGUCUAGUUGAACAUUCUCCUUCUCAUUUGAUUUGAUGGGAGGUUUGGAGCUGUCACUGCGCGAUUCUACUAAUUUCCCUUUCCCACGAGGAGGACUAGGAGACCUAGAAUUGCCACUACUGCUUUUCUUCCUAGGAAGGGGAUCAACCCUUAAACAAACAGGAGGCAACUUCGAUGACUUUGUAGGAGAAGUCGACUGUUUUCUCCCAGCUUCUUGAGUGAUUUUCUUCUGUUUAGCAUCACUUUCAUGCCUCUGGGAAGCCUCCUCUUUUUUUCCAUCAAAGAUCUCAUUCUGCUCCACUUGCUUUACAGGAAUGGUUUUCACAACAGACCCUUUAUUCAGUCCCUUUCCAUGGAAAUCACCUCCACUAUUCACUUCGUUUUCUUUAGAACUGCUUCUCUUGUCUUCAGAAUCAUGUGACAUUAAUUUGGUUAAUUUUGAGGGGGAGGUUGGCUCCUUCUCAGCAAUGAGGCCAGACUCGGUCUCCUUACCAACUUCCUCUCUGUCUUCCUCAGGUCUAUAAGGCAUCCAUAUUAUUGGAAAUGGAAACUGCUUCCUGAUUGCAUCAUCAUGAUGUUGCUUUUCAGGGAAAUCUCCGUUUUCCUUUGGUGAUCCCGAGCUGUUCCCAUAAUGAGAAGGCCAUAACUUCCAGAAAUUUGGUUGCUGGGAAGGCCUGAAAUCACCAAGCGGCUUCAAAGGUUGUGGAUUCUCCUCCUGCUCUUUACAAUUGGAUCCAUCAGGCUUCAUGCGCUCCCUAUUCUUCAUGUCAUCAGGUGGUAAGCACACAACUGGAUAAGGACAAUUAUUGAACCCAAAAGGAACCAAUGAGUCGUUACAAUCGUUUCCCUUGUCCUGGUCAUGUUCUUCUAUUUUGACACUACUCCCUCCUUUCUUACUGCCACAUUUAUGAUUUGAACAACCACAACAGUGAUGAUCUCUGCCCAUAUUCUUUUCAUACUCGUACCGGGGCUGCUCCAUAGUAAAAUGGGGAUGAGGAACAUAAUGAGUAGGAUACAUCACAGGAUAUGUAGGAUAACUACAGUUGUUGUAGGUAGAUGGUGGAAGGUAAGGAUAUGGAGGGCUAAACGCACACUGGCUCGGAGAAGUGUUAUGGAUACAGCAACUGUGGCACUCAGGUGGAUAAGGAUGCCUAUAGUUGCUACCACCACAAGGCCAAGAUUCAUAAGGUAAAGUAGAUCUAGUUGGAUCAAUGUUCAUAUGAUGAUGAGGAUUUGAUUCGAAACGGGGAUAAUAAUGAGGAUUGUAAGGUACUUGGUUCCUUUGGUAAGGAUUCGUAGGAUACAUAGCUUGGUUCAAAUGCAGGUCCAAAUUAAGCUUCCCUUUUGUGUGUAUAUAGAAUUACAGUUAAGAAAG